rnacentral:rRNA from 1 species
GAUGAACGCUGGCGGCGUGCCUAAUACAUGCAAGUCGAGCGAACAGACGAGGAGCUUGCUCCUCUGACGUUAGCGGCGGACGGGUGAGUAACACGUGGAUAACCUACCUAUAAGACUGGGAUAACUUCGGGAAACCGGAGCUAAUACCGGAUAAUAUAUUGAACCGCAUGGUUCAAUAGUGAAAGACGGUUUUGCUGUCACUUAUAGAUGGAUCCGCGCCGCAUUAGCUUGUUGGUAAGGUAACGGCUUACCAAGGCAACGAUGCGUAGCCGACCUGAGAGGGUGAUCGACCACACUGGAACUGAGACACGGUCCAGACUCCUACGGGAGGCAGCAGUAGGGAAUCUUCCGCAAUGGGCGAAAGCUUGACGGAGCAACGCCGCGUGAGUGAUGAAGGUCUUCGGAUCGUAAAACUCUGUUAUUAGGGAAGAACAAAUGUGUAAGUAACUAUGCACGUCUUGACGGUACCUAAUCAGAAAGCCACGGCUAACUACGUG